rnacentral:misc_RNA from 1 species
AACGCACAUUGCGCCCUUUGGUAUUCCGAAGGGCAUGCCUGUUCGAGCGUCAUUAUCACCCCUCAAGCUCUCCGGCUUGGAGUUGGACGGCUUUGGUCGAGGUUUUCUCCUCGACCCCUCCUAAAGACAAUGACGGCGGCCUCGUGCGACCCCCGGUACACUGAGCUUUCCAUCGUGGAGCACGUAUCGGAGUAAGGGUCAGCGGGACACGGUCUCAACUUUAAUGUUUUAACAAGGUUGACCUCGGAUCAGGUAGGAAUACCCGCUGAACUUAA